CACGUAGGCACCAAGCGUUGUCCGGAUUUAUUGGGCGUAAAGAGCUCGUAGGCGGUUCGGUAAGUCGGGUGUGAAAACUUUGGGCUUAACCCAAAGACUGCACUCGAUACUGCUGUGACUUGAGUCCGGGUAGGGGAGUGGGGAAUUCCUGGUGGUAGCGGUGGAAUGCGCAGAUAUCAGGAGGAACACCGGUGGCGAAGGCGCCACUCUGGGCCGGUACUGACGCUGAGACGCGAAAGCGUGGGGAGCAAACAGG
rnacentral:rRNA from 1 species